rnacentral:rRNA from 1 species
UACAGAGGGUGCAAGCGUUAAUCGGAAUUACUGGGCGUAAAGCGUGCGUAGACGGUUGCGUAAGUCAGGUGUGAAAGCCCCGGGCUCAACCUGGGAAUUGCAUUUGAGACUGAAUAGCUAGGGUGCGGAAGAGGGAAGCGGAAUUUCCGGUGUAGCGGUGAAAUGCGUAGAUAUCGGAAGGAACACCAGUGGCGAAAGCGGCUUCCUGGUCCAGCACCGACGUUCAGGCACGAAAGCGUGGGGAGCAAACAGG